GCUCUGGUAGCCUAGUGGUUAGAGCGUCCGCUUCAGAUGCGGGGGUUCGUGGGUUCGAUCCCUUAAUGAGUCA